UCCUACGGGUGGCUGCAGUGGGGAAUUUUGGACAAUGGGGGCAACCCUGAUCCAGCCAUGCCGCGUGAGUGAAGAAGGCCUUCGGGUUGUAAAGCUCUUUCGGCCGGGAAGAAAUCGCAUGGGUUAAUACCCUGUGCGGAUGACGGUACCGGCAUAAGAAGCACCGGCUAACUACGUGCCAGCAGCCGCGGUAAUACGUAGGGUGCGAGCGUUAAUCGGAAUUACUGGGCGUAAAGCGUGCGCAGGCGGUUUUGUAAGACAGGCGUGAAAUCCCCGGGCUCAACCUGGGAACUGCGCUUGUGACUGCAAGGCUAGAGUAUGGCAGAGGGGGGUGGAAUUCCACGUGUAGCAGUGAAAUGCGUAGAGAUGUGGAGGAACACCAAUGGCGAAGGCAGCCCCCUGGGCCAAUACUGACGCUCAUGCACGUAAGCGUGGGUAGCAAACAGGAUUAGAUACCCGUGUAGUCACC
rnacentral:rRNA from 1 species